AUUGAACGCUGGCGGCAGGCCUAAUACAUGCAAGUCGAACGAGUGGCGGACGGGUGAGUAAUGUCUGGGAAACUGCCUGAUGGAGGGGUCUAACUACUGGAAACGGUAGCUAAUACCGCAUACCAUCAGAUGGGCCCAGGUGGGAUUAGCUAGUUGGUGGGGUAACGGCUCACCAAGGCGACGAUCCCUAGCUGGUCUGAGAGGAUGACCAGCCACACUGGAACUGAGACACGGUCCAGACUCCUACGGGAGGCAGCAGUGGGGAAUAUUGCACAAUGGGCGCAAGCCUGAUGCAGCCAUGCCGCGUGUAUGAAGAAGGCCUUCGGGUUGUAAAGUACUGUCAGCGGGGAGGCGUUACCCACAGAAGAAGCACCGGCUAACUACGUGCCAGCAGCCGCGGUAAUUC
rnacentral:rRNA from 1 species